GUAAUGUCUGGGAAACUGCCUGAUGGAGGGGGAUAACUACUGGAAACGGUGGCUAAUACCGCAUAACGUCGCAAGACCAAAGAGGGGGACCUUCGGGCCUCUUGCCAUCAGAUGUGCCCAGAUGGGAUUAGCUAGUUGGUGAGGUAACGGCUCACCAAGGCGACGAUCCCUAGCUGGUCUGAGAGGAUGACCAGCCACACUGGAACUGAGACACGGUCCAGACUCCUACGGGAGGCAGCAGUGGGGAAUAUUGCACAAUGGGCGCAAGCCUGAUGCAGCCAUGCCGCGUGUAUGAAGAAGGCCUUCGGGUUGUAAAGUACUUUCAGCGGGGAGGAAGGGAGUAAGGUUAAUAACCUUAUUCAUUGACGUUACCCGCAGAAGAAGCACCGGCUAACUCCGUGCCAGCAGCCGCGGUAAUACGGAGGGUGCAAGCGUUAAUCGGAAUUACUGGGCGUAAAGCGCACGCAGGCGGUCUGUCAAGUCGGAUGUGAAAUCCCCGGGCUCAACCUGGGAACUGCAUUCGAAACUGGCAGGCUUGAGUCUUGUAGAGGGGGGUAGAAUUCCAGGUGUAGCGGUGAAAUGCGUAGAGAUCUGGAGGAAUACCGGUGGCGAAGGCGGCCCCCUGGACAAAGACUGACGCUCAGGUGCGAAAGCGUGGGGAGCAAACAGGAUUAGAUACCCUGGUAGUCCACGCCGUAAACGAUGUCUACUUGGAGGUUGUGCCCUUGAGGCGUGGCUUCCGGAGCUAACGCGUUAAGUAGACCGCCUGGGGAGUACGGCCGCAAGGUUAAAACUCAAAUGAAUUGACGGGGGCCCGCACAAGCGGUGGAGCAUGUGGUUUAAUUCGAUGCAACGCGAAGAACCUUACCUGGUCUUGACAUCCACAGAACUUUCCAGAGAUGGAUUGGUGCCUUCGGGAACUGUGAGACAGGUGCUGCAUGGCUGUCGUCAGCUCGUGUUGUGAAAUGUUGGGUUAAGUCCCGCAACGAGCGCAACCCUUAUCCUUUGUUGCCAGCGGUCCGGCCGGGAACUCAAAGGAGACUGCCAGUGAUAAACUGGAGGAAGGUGGGGAUGACGUCAAGUCAUCAUGGCCCUUACGACCAGGGCUACACACGUGCUACAAUGGCGCAUACAAAGAGAAGCGACCUCGCGAGAGCAAGCGGACCUCAUAAAGUGCGUCGUAGUCCGGAUUGGAGUCUGCAACUCGACUCCAUGAAGUCGGAAUCGCUAGUAAUCGUGGAUCAGAAUGCCACGGUGAAUACGUUCCCGGGCCUUGUACACACCGCCCGUCACACCAUGGGAGUGGGUUGCAAAAGAAGUAGGUAGCUUAACCUUCGGGAGGGCGCUUACCACUUUGUGAUUCAUGACUGGGGUGAAGUCGUAACAAGGUAACCGUAGGGGAACCUGC
rnacentral:rRNA from 1 species